AUGUCCUACGGGAGGCAGCAGUAGGGAAUCUUCCACAAUGGGCGAAAGCCUGAUGGAGCAACGCCGCAUGGGUGAAGAAGGUCUUCGGAUCGUAAAACCCUGUUGUUAGAGAAGAAAGUGCGUGAGAGUAACUGUUCACGUUUCGACGGUAUCUAACCAGAAAGCCACGGCUAACUACGUGCCAGCAGCCGCGGUAAUACGUAGGUGGCAAGCGUGAUCCGGAUUUAUUGGGCGUAAAGGGAGCGAAGGCGGGCGUUUAAGGCUG
rnacentral:rRNA from 1 species